rnacentral:rRNA from 1 species
AGAGUUUGAUCAUGGCUCAGGAUGAACGCUGGCGGCGUGCCUAAUACAUGCAAGUCGAGCGAAUGGAUUAAGAGCUUGCUCUUAUGAAGUUAGCGGCGGACGGGUGAGUAACACGUGGGUAACCUGCCCAUAAGACUGGGAUAACUCCGGGAAACCGGGGCUAAUACCGGAUAAUAUUUUGAACUGCAUGGUUCGAAAUUGAAAGGCGGCUUCGGCUGUCACUUAUGGAUGGACCCGCGUCGCAUUAGCUAGUUGGUGAGGUAACGGCUCACCAAGGCAACGAUGCGUAGCCGACCUGAGAGGGUGAUCGGCCACACUGGGACUGAGACACGGCCCAGACUCCUACGGGAGGCAGCAGUAGGGAAUCUUCCGCAAUGGACGAAAGUCUGACGGAGCAACGCCGCGUGAGUGAUAAAGGCUUUCGGGUCGUAAAACUCUGUUGUUAGGGAAGAACAAGUGCUAGUUGAAUAAGCUGGCACCUUGACGGUACCUAACCAGAAAGCCACGGCUAACUACGUGCCAGCAGCCGCGGUAAUACGUAGGUGGCAAGCGUUAUCCGGAAUUAUUGGGCGUAAAGCGCGCGCAAGUGGUUUCUUAAGUCUGAUGUGAAAGCCCACGGCUCAACCGUGGAGGGUCAUUGGAAACUGGGAGACUUGAGUGCAGAAGAGGAAAGUGGAAUUCCAUGUGUAGCGGUGAAAUGCGUAGAGAUAUGGAGGAACACCAGUGGCGAAGGCGACUUUCUGGUCUGUAACUGACACUGAGGCGCGAAAGCGUGGGGAGCAAACAGGAUUAGAUACCCUAGUAGUCC